CGGAUGCACGGACCCCACAGAAACGGCCCCUGUGGGUUUGUUCUGACUUCCUGGGGCCCUCCCACCGCCACCGGCGCCAUGAGUAAGUUAGAAAUGCCAGUCUGCAGUUUACUCUUUCUGGACCCAACUGGGAACAGUCCCAGAAGUUUGAAAUUUGACAACAAAUACGAGAAGAAAGGCCGACCCCACCCGCCCAUAGCAUCAACCAACCCAUUCUCUCAGUGUUGAUCUGGAAUUUGGAUUUAAAAUGAAAAUCCUGCCUGAUUCUCUCUCUGACGGCGUUUGAGGACCUCCUAGAGGCCACGGAACUGACUGGAGAUACAUGUCGCCCUCUUUCCCUGCCCCCUCAUCCCUCCACGGACCCACGUUUGCCCUGGUUGAAGGACAGAGACGGACACCGGACAUGUCUAAGCCUCAGUCCCCCACGCCCCGUGCCGUGGCGUGGACAGGUGUCCCAGCAUCUCCCACGCAGAUCAAGAAGCUUUCCUGCAAGGGAAAUCUUUCCCCUCCGCGCUGAAAGAAUAAGAACAAAAUAAAAAGUCACCGCAGCUAUUGAAUGAACCUGAACGUGGUGUCCCUGUGCUCUGAGUCCCUUGCAGGGAGACUGGAACUGCGUUUCUUUCCAAAGCCGCGGCUUUCAAAGAGCAUUUCCAGGCCGGGAUCCACCAGACCGGCGCUCUCGGCCCCCAGUGGGCUGGCACACAGGGGCCCCCGUGUCUGCCGCGAUACCUGAACGCUGUCCCCACCAAAGGCCCCCCGCCCGCAACAGCAGCACGAACAAUUGUGAGUCAACUCUGAAUCUGGCGGACGCUCCGUGUGCUACCCAAACCACACCGGGCCCGGGCCACGGCAGCCCGUGCUGUGCGUGUCACAUCCACACCCCGCCUGUCUGUGUGAAGUCCCGUCCGCAACUUCACAAGGCAGGAAUGUGACAGAAAAAUAAAUCGGUGCCUAAUGGCUUCAGAGAGCCGAGGGGGACACAAUUAUGCGGUAUCUGCAUGGCAAUGGACCAGACCGGAGGCUCAAAAGCAGUGGAGAACCCACUCCAAAUUCCUGCCGCGAUAAGGGGCCUCUGCGUUUAGCUGGGGCCGGGAGAAAAGAUUUUUAUGAUAAUUAUCUUAGCGAGGAA